AGCUCAUUCUCUGAAACACUUCAGAUAUGAGUUGAUGAUAACUUGGUCUCUGAGUGUGCACAAUCACAAGAGUCGUGUACAGGCAGCAGCAGCUUGAUUACUGAGGCUGGCGUGACUGUAAUUCCCAGGUGCUGUCUGCAUAGAUUGAACAGUUUCCCAUUAGCUUUGAGGAUUAGCUCCACUUCUGAGGAAAGUCUUUUAGAGAAGUGUAGCUUUGCGGUGGGAAAGAUUGAGAUAGGUGUCAAGGCAAUAAAGCAUCCCUGUUUCACAGCUAACUUCACAGACCCUCAAGCUGGUUAGCACCAUGGCUCACAUGUCAGCAGGAAGCAAAAGUGCACGGGUGCAAAUCUCUAUGGGCAGCCACACAUUUGAGAACGGCAUUCCACUGUCCCCUCCCGAUUGAUACGAAUGAAAGAUUGUAAAAAGUAAGCAGGUGGGAGCAAAUAGCGAUUGAUGCAUGGAAGUAAAAGGCAGCACUGAAAUGUUAAAUGUGUACUAUGUAUGGGAUUUUACCAAGGUACAGGAUGCUGCCAAAAUCUAAGUAGAAGAGGCCAUGGAGAUAAUAGAUGGGGUGAAAAUUGAUGAGGAGGUGCUAGACAGACUAAUCAUACAUAAACUAUGCAAAUCAGUAUGCACCCUAAUUUGCUGAAGGUGUCAAUUUAACUUCCAAAGUGAAGAAGCCUUUUGAAACAUUGAACAGGGAAAUUCAUGGCAUCUCAGAGGAACAUUUAUAGAAGAGUGCUGAUAUGGAUUUGCUAAAGGCACAUCAUACCUGACUGAUUGUAUUUUUGCUAAGGUAACAAAAAACACUGUUGAAGGGACUAUAGUAGAUCCCGUUAAAAGUUACUUUUUGGACGGGGCUUCUGAAGUUCCACCAAAGAUGACUGCCUGCAAAACUAAGAACACAGUAGACGCACGGAUAGAAAAUUGGCUAAAGGGCAGAAAGUAGACCGCAGAAAGUACAAAGUAGAACGUACAGGAGCCUGAAAACUGUAACGUCCAGGUUCAGGAACAGCUACUUCCCUACAGCCAUUAAACACAACAACGAAUAAGCUCUGAACUCUGAACUGCUAAAGACUAUUAUUAGUGCACUAUAUUUGUUAUUUAUUGAACUUUUUUUUUUCUCUUCCCCCAUUAUGUACUUUGUUACAUAUUCUGUUGUGCUGCAGCAAGUAAGAAUUUCAUUGUCCCAUCCGGGACAUAUGACAAUAAAACACUCUUGACUCUUGAGCAGGAAUUGUAAUAAAGACAAAAAUUGUUAGAAACAUAUUUCCCUAUUUUCCAGUUCUGAUAAAGGGUCAUUGAUUUAACAGGUUCAACACUCUUGCUAUCCCUAUACAUGCUAACUGAUGCACGGUGUGUCCCAGCACUUUCUGUUUGUACUUCAGUCGCAUAAAGGAAUCCUGUGUGAUAUGGUAUUAAUUAAUGCACUAAGAAUAAAUGAAUGCUUGGUUUACACUGCUGGAAUCUUACAAAAAGGUACUAAAAAACGACCUUUCAAUCAUUAUUUUGAAGAGCUAGGUGUACUCAAUGCCCCAGCAAUCACCUGGAUGCUGGUCUCCCCUCAGAAGAAUGCGACUUCAGAUGACCUUGGAUUAGAACCAGGAAGAUCUGGCACACAACGGUUACCUAACACAAACUGGUAAACUGAAGUAGUUCAAUUUAGUUUUGUGUCCCAAGAGUUGCAGUGUGGCUGGAUCAGAAGAUGAAGUGCAAUACUUGUGGUGGGGAAAUAUAGUGGCAGCUAACUGGAAGUUUAUGGUUGCUCUUGCAGACUCUAAGAUGGUGCUUUAUGAGGUUUGGUGAAGUUUGAAUGCAGCACAGCAGGUUUUAACAGGUGCAAGUAACGUGCUGCUUCAGCUGGGACUAUUUGGGUCAAUAGACAAUAGACAAUAGGUGCAGGAAUAGGCCAUUCGGCCCUUUGAGCCAGCAUCGCCAUUCAAUUUGAUCAUGGCUGAUCAUCCCCAAUCAGUACCUCGUUCCUGCCUUCUCCCCAUAUCCCCCGACUCCACUAUUUUAAGAGCCCUAUCUAGCUCUCUCUUGAAAGCAUCCAGAAAACCCGCCUCCACCGCCCUCUGAGACAGACAAUUCCACACUCACCACUCUCUGUGAGAAAAAGUGUUUCCUUGGCUCCGUUCUAAAUGGGUCCCUGGGUGAUGGGGGGAGAAGAGGUCAAAGGGCAGAUUCUUGCAUCGCCUCCUCCACACUGGAGAAAGCAAACCAAACUGAAGAAGGGUCUCGACCCGAAACCUCAUCCAUUCCUUCUCUCCAGAUAUGCUGCCUGGCCUGCUGAGUUACUCCAGCUUUUUGUGUCUAUCUUGGGUUAAAACCAGCAUCUGCAGUUCCUUCCUACAUAACUUAAAACAUGCUUGUUAUUCUCACGUUUCCAAUUCCAAUGAUUGACUAUUGACCUUAAAUAUUAGCUGUUUCUCUCUACAGAUACUGCCAGAGAUACUGUGGCAUUCUUUGCCACAGAAGGCUGUGGAGGUCAAGUCAAUCGAUAUUUUUAAAGCAGAGAAAGAUAGAUUCUUGAUUAGUACGGGUGUCAGGCUUCAUGGGGAGAAGGCUGGAGAAUGGGAUUAGGAGGGAGAGAUAGAUUAGCCAUGAUUGAAUGGUGGAAUAGACUUGAUGGGCCGAACGGCCUAAUUCUGCUUCUAUCACAUGACCUUAUGACCAUUUCCAGUGUUUUCUGUCUUUGUUUCAGAUACCCAGCAUGUGUAAAUGUUCCUGUGUGAUAUGGUAUUAAUGAAUGCCAUAUCACACAAAUCGGUGAUCAAAAGUCAUCACUGCUUUGAUCACGGAAACGCAGAGCAAACGUUCCUAUUAGCAGGAUUAAAGUGAACAGGUUUAAAAAUAUUGGAGGAAAGAUUAUAGAGGUCGGUGAGGAAAAACAUUUAUACACAGGGAUUAGUUAUGAUCUGGAACUCAUUGCCUAUCAGAGUGGUUGAUGAUAAUCAGGGUUUUCAAAAGUCAAUUGGAUUGGAUUUGAUAGGCACCUGAGAGAAAAUAAUAUCCAUGGCUCUGUUAAAGAACUGGGGUACGGGACUGAUAGAAUGCUCUGUUUGGACUCCAUAUGGACGGAAUAUCUCCUUUUUGUGUUUUAUAGGUAGAGGGUUAUUGACCAUAUGUGCAGGUGCUGCCUAUCUUUUAUAUACAGACGGUACACCAAGUCUAUUUAUAUACCAGAUCUGGUAAUCUCUAUUAUUUAUAUAAUUGUACCUAUUAUUAUUGUGUGCCCAGGAGCUACCUAUUGCCAUUGCAUAUAAAUGCAUUACCUAUCUGUCACAUGCUCCGGGCCUGCCUAUUUCUGUUAUUUAUGCAGGUAUGCCAAGACACUACUGCUGCAUAUAACAAAUAUGUACGCAGGUGCUUCCUGUCUCUGUAAUAUUCCCUGUGGCUGCUUAUCUGUAUAUAAAUACUGUCUCUGUCUGUCUCUGAUGUAUACACAGGUGCAACCUCUCUCUUCCUAUGUACGUGGGCUGCUUAUCACUGUUCCGUACUGCCUUGCUCCACAUGUGAGUAACAGUGUCUUCACACAGUGACCUUUGUUCAUCAACAAUAUGCCUUAGUGAGUUCCCCUGUGGAAAUAGUCAACACCUUCUGACCCUUUGGCUCAAUAUAACACAUAACCAACACAUUGCUACUCCCACCAUGAAAACACUCAGGUUCACAUCUCAAACUGAUCCUCCUGACAGCUUCAACCCCAGAGUGUAACCUUCAAAAGGCAUGAUCAGCAAAGAUGGAGUCCAAUGGUUUCCAGAAAAAACUGCUUAGAGCACAGCUAUUUCAGAUUCAAAUUAGAUUAAUUUACUGUCAGAUACACCAGCAUGCAAUAAAAUGUAUUAUUUGCUUAUAUUCACACCAAUGAUAGAGGUAACUACAAAUGACAGCCAUGAAUGCAAAACUGCAGAAUCGUGCAAAGAUUGUAAUGCAAUCUAUAGGAGAGCAAAAAAAAACCGUAAGUGCAAUAACUAUAAUCGUUUGUGGUAGAGGUAAGAGUUUCUGGUAGUUCCUUUGUGAAAGGCAUGUGAUAGGGCCGAUUGGUUCAGGAUAUAGAAAUAAAAAACUGCAGAUACUGGUUUAUACCAAAGAUAGGCACAAAGUGCUGGAGUAACUCAGUGUGUCAGGCAGCAUCACUGGAGAGAAGGAUUUUGUGUCUAUCUUCGGAUGGAAGAAAGUAAUCAGCCUGCGAUUGACUGGGCUGUAUCCACCACUGUGACAUGCUGAAUCUCCUCACAUGCCUAAGAAAUUGAUGUCAUGGCCAACUCUGUUUUGCCCACAAAGGCCAAGCACUGGCACUAAACCACUGUACUGGCACUACCCAUCUUCAUUAUGGACGCAGGGUACUGUAACAAUGUGUACACAUGGGCUGCCCAACGCAAAUUGGAUCUAUAUGAAACACAGAAGAAGGUUUGCCAUUUAUCGUAACUCCCAUUUUCACAGUGGCUCCAAUUUGCUAUUGUUUAUGUGGGUGGAUAGGAUAAGGUCUGGCAGGAAUGGGAUGCCAUUUAUUCAGAAUACAUAGAUACAUAGCCAAUAGGUGCAGGAGUAGACCAUUCGGCCCGUCGAGCCAGCACCGCCAUUCAACGUGAUCAUGGCUGAUCAUCCACAAUCAGUACCCCGCUCCUGCCUUCUCCCCAUAUCCCUUGAUUCCGCUAGCCCCGAGACCUCUACCCAACUCUCUUUUGAAUGCAUAGUGUGAAUCAGCCUCCACUGCCUUCUGAGGCAGAGAAUUCCACAAAUUCACAACUCUCAGGGAAUCAGGUAGCAUCAAUCUGUAGUUGUGCCUCUGUGUAACACAGUAAACCCACAGCAAUGCUACUGCUUUGGCUGCGCCCCAUCUCUGGAAUCCUGCUAUGGUUGAGAAUAGGAGGCCACAGUCUCUGCGGUCUAUGUACCAAAGCUCUUUGAUUCAAAGUUGCACUCUUAAAAGCACUCCUGCCUGUGACUUUUUUUUCCGUGAUGCCUCUGAAUUUCCUCCGGUUUGAAAGGACAGGAACUGUGCGAAAGAUCUGUUGGAGAGUGAAACUAAAACAUGAAAGGCCAACGACGGGCAGUUCACAGGCAAAGAGAGAAAUAGAGAGAGCACCGUAUCCUCUCCCUGGCCUCAGGGGAGGUGUGUGAGAAAUACUGCUGACUUCUAACCACUGUGGGAAAGUGGGGGGAUGGGGCCAAGCAGAGUCAGGUUUCACUCAGAUUUACACAGCAAUGAAGUCUGCAUUCCAAAGAGAGGCCACUGCUGGGAGAAACAGGAAGAUCACCUGAAACAAAAGAUACUCUCACAGUGGGCAGAGUUGCAGAAUAUAAACCCAGCAACAGUGAAGACUGGUGAUAUAUUUCCAACUCGGGAUGUCCAUGAGUUGGAGGGACAGCUGCAGGUCGUGGCAUUCACACGCGCUGGCUGCCUCUGUCCUUCUUCAUGCAGAGAUUGCAGAUUUGGGCGGCACUGUCAGAGUAACCUAGGAUGCUGCCUGACCCAUUGAGUGCUUCCAGCAUUUUCCACCUCAACUGUAGACACAAUCGCCAUAGUUCUCUGACCCCUAUCCCAGAAUUUGCAAUUACUGUAAAUACAAGAUUUUUGUUGCUC